AUGGAGGUAGUUUUUUAGGAAGAUUUGUAGAGGCUCUUCAUUAUUACAGCGCGUUAUUCGACGCGCUUGGUGAUAGUUUAACCAUGGAUAAUCUGGAAAGACAUGUGGUAGAGCAACAAUUGUUUGGUUGUGAGAUUAGGAACAUUAUCGCCGUUGGUGGACCCAAAAGAACCGGUGAAGUUAAAGUCGAAAGAUGGGGCGAUGAACUGAAACGG
rnacentral:misc_RNA from 1 species